rnacentral:rRNA from 1 species
UCGCCUGUUUAUCAAAAACAUGUCCUCAUGAAAAUAAUUUGAGGUCUGACCUGCCCACUGAAUAAUUUAAUUUAAAGGGCCGCGGUAUUUUGACCGUGCAAAGGUAGCAUAAUCAUUAGUCUUUUAAUUGGAGGCUGGAAUGAAUGGUUGGACGAGGCAUUGACUGUCUCAGUGUAAUUGUUAUUAGAAUUUAACUUUUAGGUCAAAAGGCUUAAAUGAAUUUAAAGGACGAGAAGACCCUAUAGAGCUUUAUAUUAGAUAAUUAUAACUAAUUUAGAUGGCUUUUAGUGGUAGUUAGUAUAAUAUUUUGUUGGGGUGACAGGAAGAUAAAUUAAACUCUUUUUAAUUUUUUACAUUAAUUUAUGAAUAGUUGAUCCAUUAUUAGUGAUUAUAAGACUAAGUUACCUUAGGGAUAACAGCGUAAUCUUUUUUGAGAGUUCUUAUCGACAAAAAGGGUUGCGACCUCGAUGUUGGAUUAAGGGUAAUUUUGGGUGUAGAUGUUCAAAGUUUAGGUCUGUUCGACCUUUAGAUCCUUACAUGAUCUGAGUUCAAACCGGAGA